rnacentral:rRNA from 1 species
UACGGGGGGGGCAAGCGUUGUUCGGAAUUACUGGGCGUAAAGGGCUCGUAGGCGGCCAACUAAGUCAGACGUGAAAUCCCUCGGCUUAACCGGGGAACUGCGUCUGAUACUGGAUGGCUUGAAUCCGGGAGAGGGAUGCGGAAUUCCAGGUGUAGCGGUGAAAUGCGUAGAUAUCUGGAGGAACACCGGUGGCGAAGGCGGCUCCUGGACCGACACUGACGCUGAGGCGCGAAAGCUAGGGGAG